rnacentral:lncRNA from 1 species
ACCUAUUUUGGGGGCAUCACAAUUGAAAUUCGGGAGGAGUACCGGUUGAGAUCCGCAGGAGGAGUGAGUCGAGUUGGGCAUGUGGAAAAUUGAUCGGCAGCGUAGAGAGAGAAAUCAGAGUUGAUUUGGGUCCACGUCAGUAAAAUAUGUCUAAUUGUCAAUCUCGUUUGUCUAUUUGGCAAGUCUGUCAACGGCAGGGGUACAAUUGACCCAAAACUGUAACGUUGAAGGUAUUUUUAGAAAAAAAAAAGUAUAGGAUACUCGAUAGACAUUAAGAAAAAUAUGAGGGGCAUUUUUGGAUCUUAUCCCAUAAAAACUAAGAAUUAAAGAGUGCUUUGCAAUAUAAACAGGUGAUGGUGGGU